rnacentral:siRNA from 1 species
GUAGCCAUGGAAUGUAUGGAUUG